rnacentral:rRNA from 1 species
UACGGAGGUUGCAAGCGUUGUUCGGAAUUACUGGGCGUAAAGGGAGCGUAGGCGGCUUGAUAAGUCUGAAGUGAAAUCCCGGGGCUUAACCUCGGAAGUGCUUUGGAUACUGUCAAGCUUGAGUUCGUGAGAGGAAAGCGGAAUUCAGGGUGUAGCGGUGAAAUGCGUAGAUAUCCUGAGGAACACCAGUGGCGAAAGCGGCUUUCUGGCGCGAAACUGACGCUGAGGCUCGAAAGCGUGGGUAUCAAACGGG